rnacentral:lncRNA from 1 species
GACCUCAUCCAAUCUCUUGGGCACCACCUACCAUAAAGCCUUUCUUUUGUGCGACAAAAUUGAGAAGUUUUUAUCAUGGAAAUCUAUUUAGGGUGUGAGGUAUCUUAGCAUGAGAAAGGGUUUCUCAAUGUGAGAAAAGAAAAGAAAAAGGAGGGGUAGUGGUCUUCAUGUGUGCAUGAGAUUGAGAGAGGCGCACAUCCUCUCUAGGGUUUCUUCCUAUGUGGCAUGAGAUUUUGGGAAGAGAGACAAGAAAAGAGUUAGAGUUCUCUAGAUUUUAAUCUUUUCUUCAUCUUCCACGUGUUUCUCUUCAGAGAUCUGAGAGAGUUUAAAAGAUUUGAAGAAGAAAUCUGAAUCAACCAUCAAGAAGCAACUUUUGCAAGAGAGCUAGCACCCUGAUGAAGUCAGGGGCCUCUGAUCGGAUCGAGAACUUCAUAUGAAUAUCUAUAAAGGUCGGACAUAUGUGC